GACAGAGAGUGACAUUUGCUGCUCAUAAUUCUUUCCUUCAUUCUUGCUGACAAACAUCUACCUAGACUAUUCAGAGGAGAAGAGUUCAAGGUCACGGGUGGCUGGAGACUAUCCCGGCAGCUCAGGAUGCUGGGGUGGGAACCGAUUCUGGACAGGGUGCCAUCCUGUCACAGAAUGCACUCACACCGACUCCCACGCUCACUCAGACCACUGAGACACGCCAGUUCACCUAACGUGCAUACCUUUGGGAUGGGGAAGGACACUGCAGUACCUGGAGAAAACCCAAGCAGAUAUGGGCAGAAUGUGCAAGCUGGCCAGGAGUCAGGCGAGGCUGACUUCACUCGACGGUGGUGAAUCCAAGGUUUGACUCCUGUGAGCUUGACAGAGGAGUGUGUCACCAGCAAGACUUCCCAGGGCCCCUUCCACUGGGGCUUCAGUUGGUCAUCAGGAUGCUGAUUUCUCCAGGUCUUAAGCGCUACCCAGUCUCCAGGCGGGAUGCGAUGUAAUGGAACACCCACUGUGAACUGCAAUCUUCUAGAAGCAAACUCAUGCAUAGCAUUUAGAGUCAGACCUAUGGAUUGUAUGUAUCUAAUGAUUUCUAGCUCUUUAAUGAGUAAGCUGUUGGGGUCCCUUAGUCUAGAGCUGGAGCACAGGAAGAGUCUCCCAUAUAGAAUUCUCAAAGGGCUCAUCUUGAGCCUGCUUCUAGGGGCCACUCUUAUUCUAAGUAGGGCAAUUAGCAACGCCUUAUCCCAGGUCAAACUAGUUUCUUGGCAAAUCUUAGAUAAGGUCUCUUUUAUCGUAUGAUUCAUCUUUUCAGCCUUUCCAGUAGACUGUAAUCUCCAGGUUAUGUGUAGAUUCUAAGCUAUACUGAAGGCUUGGGAAACAUCCUGUCUAAUCUGGGCCACAAAGCCUGCACCAUUGCCACUCUGGAUGGAAACUGGUACUCCAAAGCUAGGAAUAAUCUCUUUUAUUAAGGCCUUAACCACUUCAGAAGCUUUUUCUCUCAGGCAAGGAAAGGCCUCAACCCAGCCCUAGAAGGUACCCACAAAAACGAGUAAAUAUUUGAAAUUUCUUGCUAUCCUAGGCAUCUUAGAAAAAACCAGUUUGCUUGUCCUCUGUUGGCCCUUUACCCCUGGCCUGGACUCCUUGUGCUGGAGGGGGAGGGAUAUUUUGGAGGUCAUUCUGAGCACACAGGAGAUAUUUUCUUAUAACCUCCUGAAUGGCUUUUUCAUAUGUGGGCCAAUGAUAUAUUUCUGGAUCCAUUGUAUGGCGGCAUCCCUGCCAUAAUGGGUAGAGGCAUGAAUAUGCUUGACAAUGUCAUUCAUGAGAUAUCUGGGUACCAGAACUGUUCCUACCUCAUAUUCGCCCAUCCUGAGUUGGGGUUGAACCCCUAAUCAAGGUAUCUUUUCAGGUCUUUUUCCAAGUAUAUGGGAGAUUCAGGACCAAGAUUUAUGUCAGGCAGCAAAAGCAUAAUUAAAGGCUUAGGAGUCUUUUUCCUUGUUGCUUCCUUUAUGGCCCGAUCUGCCUGAUGACUACCCCUUGCCACCAGGCUGUCUGUCCAUUGAUGACUAAGGUAAUGCACUACAGCCACUUCCUUGGGGGCUACAAUGGCAUCUAGCAAGGCUAGCAUGUUUUUUUUUAAAGCAUGUUUUAUUUCUUUAGAAGUUCUCUUUCUUUCUAGAUGGUCCCAUGAGCAUGAACAACAGGAAAAGCAUACCUGGAGUCCAUAUAAAUGGUCAUUCAUUUGCUUUUACCUAGUUUGAGUGCCCUGAUGAGGGCUACGAGCUCAGCCUUCUUUGCCGAGGUUCCAGGGGGAGUGCUUCAGCCUCUAAUAUCUAUUGAUGGGUAACCACUGCAUACCCAGCUCUCUGUAGUCCCUGAUCCAUAAAACUGCUUCCAUUGGUAAACAUCUCUAGGUCUGGAUUUUCUAGGUGUGUGUCAGUUAGAUCUGGCUGGCUAAAAUAAAUUUGUUCAAUUAUUUAUAAACAGUCAUGCACAGGUUCAGGUGGCAUUUGAGGAAGUAAGCUGCAGGUUUUAAAGUAGAGGCCACUCUCAGUGUUACAUUUGGAUUAUCCAAAAGGAUGGCCUGCUAUCUGCCAAGCCUCCCAGAGGUCAGCCAAUAUCCUGCUUUCUGUUCCAGUAAGGGGAGCACACAGUGGGGGUGUGCACAGUGGUGGGCUCACCUAAUGUAAAAUUCUCUGCCUCUUGAAGCAGGUCGUAAGUGGCAGCAACAGCCUGAAGGCAAGAAGACCAUCCCUUUGUGAUAAUGUCCAAUUGCUUUGAGAAAUAAACAAUGGGUCUCUUAAUAUUUCCUAGGUCCUGAAUUAGCACUCCUAGACUCAUUCCUUGCCUCUCAUGCAUGAAAAGAUCAAAAGAUUUCCUUAUAUCUGGGAUCCCCAGUGCUGGGGCAGUCAACAGUUUUUCCUUUAUGUUUAAGAAAGCCUUCUCGGCAGUCCCCAGUCCACUCUAAGUGUUCAUUAUCUCCUCCUCUUAAGGCAUCAUAUAGAGGCUUAGUGAUAAGUCCAAAGUUAGGAAUCCAGAUGCAACAGAAACUGGCCAUGCCUAAGGAGCCCCCCAGCUGUCACUGAGUGGUAGGUCUGGCUACUCUGGCAAGGGCCUCCCUCUGAUCAGGGAGCAGGAGCAGGUUUCUCUGUCCUUGGGAGAGCUCGAACCCAAGGUAUUUCACUGAAGGCUGUGACAUCUGAGCCUUUUUCUUGGACACCAUGUACCCUCACUCAGGAAGUUUAGAGUUUGUAUAGUGUUCUGGUCAGAUGCCUCCAUUAUGGUGCUAACAACCAAUCCUGGGGCCCAUUAUUCCUGGGCCCCGUCAUUCCUGGUCCCCAUACUCACUAUCUUCAGCCUCAAGCUUCCUGGCUAGCUUGGGCAUUUGGUGAAUGGGAAGGGGAUUCUUCCCCGCAUGAGUCUUUUUAAGGCAUGGGCAAUCUCUUUUCCAGUUACCCUUCUUGCUUGCAGUAGGCACAUUGAUUGCUACCUACAGUGGGGGGGAGGGGGGUGUCCCAGGGAUGGGGGGUUCUAUCUUGGAUGGAGCACCUGAGUGGAGGUCCACACCAUGGUCCUGGAGUUCUUUGAGUCAAAGCAGCACCAGAAGGGUGGCCUGUUGUUUUAUCUUUUGUUGCUCUCUUUUCUCCACCAUCUCUUUCUUCUCAAUCCAUGAACACC